AGCUCAUCCACUCUACUAUAGAGAUCAAUAUUUUCAGCAUAGAUCUAAUUUAUUGGAUAAUUCUAAUUAUUCUAAUAUACAAUCAAGGGGUCUAGAUCAAAACAAUUCUCUUUUGAUUAUUAUUAUUAUUAUUAUUUUAUGUAUUUUUAUUAGAGAAGAUAAGAGAAGAUGAAAGAAAAAAGAGAAAGGAGAAUGCUAAAGAUGAGAACAUAAAGAGUCCUAAAUCUAUGAGAGAGAGAGA
rnacentral:lncRNA from 1 species